rnacentral:misc_RNA from 1 species
UCGACUGUUCGUUUGAGGGUCCUUGGCUGUUCAAAUCGCUGCAAAAUGUGGGUGCCUUUGCUUUCAAUUUUGUAAAUAAAGUUUCGAAGUCGUCGCCUCCAUGGAUCAAUACUUUUAAGGCGUUGCGAUUGGAUGCCUCAACUGGUGGAAAUAAGAUAUCUCAGUCUAGAAAGAUAUUAACUCCUGAAGAGCAAGGGGAGGCAGAAAAUAGAGCAUUUGCUGCAGCAUUGGCCAGUGGGAAAG